GCAGGCCCCGCCCCGGCUCCCCGCGCCUGGGGCCCCCACCCAGGUGCGAGGAAGCUAGCACCGCGGGGCUGCGGGCGGAAGUCUGGAGGGCACAGGGACCAGCUGGGUGGUGGCCUGAGGACGGUGGGCACCGGAGUCUGCCGCGCUCUCCACUGGGAAGGCCUCGGGCCAUCAGCCUGAGGUGUAGCCGUCAAAGCCUGGAGGGUGUCCUCGCUCGGCUCGGGAGCCUCCUGCAAACCGUCGCUCGGCGUUCUCCUCGGGGGUCUCUGUGACGUCGCUAAAAGACACCUGCGGCGGGGCCUCGGCCGCAUUUGUGGGCAUUUGUGGUGUUCAGGGUGGACUGGCUGCUGUGGGCCACCUGACCCAGGGCCUCGGGCAUGGCAGUUUUGUUCUAAAUGUGCUCUUGUUAACGAAAUGGAGCACCGCAUACGUUUUCUCCAGAUUCAAUUAAGCAUAUCAGUUAAAUCAAUAUAAAUGUUUUCCCGAGAUUCCUGUCCACGGAAAGAUGCUCUGAUCUUUUUGCCCGGCCACUCCAGUUGUUAACUACAAUACUUGAUGGAGUGUGGAUGCUUGAACCACUUUGCUGGUGUUUUCUUUGCCGCUGGUGGCCGCUGCGCCAGGGAGGAGCGGAGGAUGCAAGCGGCAUUCUACAGGAGAUGGAGCUGAAGAGCCAAGAGCUCUCACACCAUAGAUGGGUUUUUAAAAGACUCAAAAUGGGAGUUGGAGCAGAAGUGCCCAAGGAGGUCAGAAGAGGGCGUGUCCCUGGAUGUUACAGACCAUCGUGAGCUGCCCUGCAACCAUCCGAGGAAAGUAUUACUGCCCUCCCUGUCUUAAGACAGUGAACCUCACAUUGAAUGGUGUUACCCAGUGCCCUCCAUCCUUUGGAGAGAACACACCUCCCCAGAAGCUUCUGCAGACUGUUUUCUGACCCUGCACAGCUUGGACUUACCUCACUUGAGGAGGUGUGGCUUCAUGGCUGAGUUCUGGACAAAGGAAUAUAUAGUCCCCUGCCCGCACACUCAUUUUCUCCGAGCCUGAUGGAGAGUGCCAGAGGUCGGUGCUGAGGCCCUGGAGCAGCACCAAGGGAAAACUCACAGCACACUGUGAUUGGAAAGCCGGAGAUCAACCUGUGUGUGCUGGGCGCCUAAACUGGAGUGGUUCUCGUCUAUCAGCCAGCUUCUAUGGAUACACACCUGGUUGCCCAUCCCAACCUCAGACACUGCGAUUACCAAUAAACCUCCCCUGUUCCAUCACCCCUGCCUUGCCCUUCCUCACCCCUGCCUUGCCCUUCCUCACCCCUGCCUUGCCCUUCCUCACCCCUCCUUGCCUCACACGAUGUAUUUUCAACUCUCUUUCCCUAACACUGCACCCUUAGCUCUGUGUGACCACACUCCCUUAUUUGACCCGGACCUUUAUUAUCUGUUUUUUCCUUCCAUAUCUCCAGCUCCUUGCCCCUGCCUCUUUCCAAACCCGGCAAAGCCUCUCUGCCUGUGCCCAGCUGAGUUUGGACAGGGGUCGUAUUGUUAGGAGGAAGUAGCUCGGAGGACAGUGGACUCGCCUGGCAUGCGAGAAGCCGUUGGUUCAAUCCCCGGCACCACCUAUACUGGCAUGGUGGCUCAUGCCUGUAAUCCUAACCGUCGGGGUGAAAGCAAGAUCAGACAUUCAAGGUCAUCCUCAUCUACACGCAUUUCCAGAAGGAUGUGCAAGGAUUUACUUAACUGGUUCCUCGCGGUGACUGGGGUGUCUCCAGUUUCCUGUCUUCUAAACAGAACUUGGAGCUUGAAAUCAAAUCCAGGACCUCACACAUGCUGGGCAAGCAAGCACUCUACCGCUGACCCACACCCCUGGCUCUGGAAGUGCGGGCCGGGAGAUGGCUGAGCACAAGAGCAGUGCUGUGCUGUAGUGGCCUUUUCUUUUUCUCUGACUUUCUUCUGGGACUCGGCACAGAUUUCUAGUCAUCUGCCACAAUGAAUUGACAAGAGGAGACUCAGAAGGGCCAGUGAUGAAGCUACAGCCCCAGAACAUGUCAACUGUCAAAAAAAAAAAAAAAAAAAAAAAAAACAUUUCGUUGGGGUGGAUUACAGUGCAGAGGUUCAGUCCAUUCUCCUCAUGGUGUGACCUGGUGGCUGUGCAGGCAGACUCGGUGCUGGACAAGUAGCCAAGCGUCCUACAUCUUGACUUGCAGGCAACGGGAAGUGGUCUGAAACACUGGGUGUGGCUUGAGCAUAUAUGAGACCUCAAAGCCCGCCCCCACAGUGACACACUUCCUCUAACAAGGCCACACCUCCCAAUAGUGCCACUCUCUUUGGUGGCCAUUUUCUUUCAAACCAUCACAGAGACCAAGAACACAGUAAGAGGUAGGAUUUGGCCUGUCGGCGGUGGUGGUGCACACCUUUAAUCCCAGCUCUUGGGAGACAGAGACAGGCAGGUCUCUGUGAGUUUGAGGAUAGCCUGGUCUACAGAGCGAGUUCCAGGACAGCCAGAGCUACACAAAGAAACCCUGUCUCAAAGAACAAAAGCAAAAUGAACAAACAAGAAAGGUGGGAUUUGAACUUCUGAUUCUUGAAGCCAUGAGCUUUCCAUUUCCCACUAUUCAUCCCUCCAAUCAGCUGGGUUACUCACCGACAACAAGGACUGUUUGCACGAUUAUUUAUUUAUCUUUUGGAAAUUUAGCCUAG